UCGGCUGUCAUGGUGGAUAACUGGCAUGGUCGUCAUGGUGUUCAUAACGAUGGUUGAGCAGGUGAAUUCACAGUCAAAUGAUAGAGGUAACACUCUACUUAGAAGGUAUUGUAGAUCAUAUGACGUAAAGAAUGGAGAGUUUUACUUAAACAACCUCAACGCCACCCUUUCUAGCCUCCGAAGACAGUUAUCCAAUCCACAGGUCUACUACGCUUUUGCACAGGCUACAGAUAACGAUGAAUAUGUGUACAACUUUGCUAUGUGUAGGGAGUAUCUCUCUACCUCGCAGUGCCUGGCUUGUUUUGACUUGGCAGUUAACGAGACAAAAGUAUGUAGAAUCGCUGACGGUGGUAACAUUAUUUAUGAUGAUUGCAGUAUCAGGUACGAAAAUUAUGGCCAAAUCUUCGAUAAUACAGAAGUUAUAUUAGAUAAUGAUGCCAUUCCAAGUGGAGUAUGUGGCAUACAGUCAGCGUCUCAGCCAGUAACCUCUUUCAACCAAGUGGUAGAAGAAUUGUUAUCCGAUAUUCGGGUCGCUACUAUAAGAACAUCUAAUUUCUAUGUAGCAUCUAUAAGGCAAGUCUCGGCUAACAAUGCAACAGUGUAUGCGAUUGCACAAUGUGUUCAAAACUCAUCCCAAGCCAUUUGCCAGAACUGCUUGACAACAGCAUAUGACAAUUUACGUGGUUGUCUACCCAAUACGGAAGGAAGAGCCAUUGACUUUUUGUGUUUUAUGAAGUAUUCUGUGACUCCGUUUUUUCUAAAUAACCAAACGACAAACAUCGUUCCUUUUCUAAGUGAAGGAAGUUCAACCAAGUCUGCUAUGAUAGCUGGAGGAAGUAGUGGUGUUGGUAUUUUCUUGCUUAUACUUGCUUUGUGGCUAUGGUAUCGACGAAGGAAGAAGUCUAAGACUGUUGGAGAAGAUGAAUCUGGACUACCAGGGGGAAAAAGUUACAGUUACCAAGAUUUGCGAUUAGCAACUCAUAAUUUUGAUGAGGAGUAUAUAGUAGGGAAAGGAGGCUUUGGUGAAGUAUUCAAGGCAAUUAUAGAUGAUGAGAAUGCAGUGGCGGUGAAGAGACUUCAUGUUGGCUAUGGCAAAGCAAAAUUAGAAUUUGACAAUGAAGUGAAGCUUUUAAGUAAUCUUCAACAUCGGAAUCUUGUUCGACAACUAGGUUGGUGUAGCGAAGGACCUGAGCUACUUCUUGUCCUAGAAUACAUGCCACGAGGCAGCCUUGACAAAUUCUUAUGGGGUAGGGUAGUCUUGCAAAAAUAUUACUUAUAGCUACCCGACUGAAAAUAUUCGCAAAAGGAGUGUGCUUAUCGGCUCAUCAUGGACAGGUGAAAAAAGGGGCACUCUGAAUUGGGAAAAACGGUUUGACAUUAUCUUUGGGGUCUCUAGGGGUCUUUCCCAUCUUCAUAAUGAGUUCCAUGUCAAAAUAAUUCAUAGAGAUAUCAAGUCAAGUAACAUUCUCCUUGACGAUGAUUUUCAACCCAAAAUCGCGGACUUUGGGUUGGCUAGAUUUCAAGCUGAGAAUCAAACCCAUGUCAGCACAAAGCUUGCUGGGACCCUAGGAUACAUGGCACCAGAAUAUGCAACCCAUGGACAUUUAUCAGAGAAGGUUGACACCUACAGCUUUGGUAUCAUGGCCCUUGAAAUCAUUAGUGGUCGAAGGUGUACUGACGAAAACUUUAGUGGACCUGACACAGCUCACCUCAUUGAACAUGCAUGGCAGCUAUACGAGAAAGGCAUGCACAUAGAGUUGAUUGAUGAAGUACUAGGUAAAGAAGAAUACCAGGAAGCAAAUGUGAUGAAGAUCAUAG